rnacentral:miRNA from 1 species
GUGUGUGUGUGUGUGUGUGUAUUUAGCAGUCUGUGUGUAUAUUCAGCAGACUGUGUACUCAGCAGUCUGUGUGUGUAUUCAGCAGUCUGCUAAAUACAGACAGACUGCUAAGUACACAGACAGACUG